AGCAGUAGCCGCGGUAAUACGUAGGGUGCGAGCGUUAAUCGGAAUUACUGGGCGUAAAGCGUGCGCAGGCGGUUCGUUAAGACAGAUGUGAAAUCCCCGGGCUUAACCUGGGAACUGCAUUUGUGACUGGCGAGCUAGAGUAUGGCAGAGGGGGGUAGAAUUCCACGUGUAGCAGUGAAAUGCGUAGAGAUGUGGAGGAAUACCGAUGGCGAAGGCAGCCCACUGGACCAUUUCUGACGCUGAUGCACGAAAGCUAGGGGAGCAAACAGGAUUAGAUACCCCGGUAGUCCCUGUCUCUUAUAC
rnacentral:rRNA from 1 species